AAACCGGGAGAUAGCUGGUUCUCCCCGAAAGCUAUUUAGGUAGCGCCUCGUGAAUUCAUCUCCGGGGGUAGAGCACUGUUUCGGCAAGGGGGUCAUCCCGACUUACCAACCCGAUGCAAACUGCGAAUACCGGAGAAUGUUAUCACGGGAGACACACGGCGGGUGCUAACGUCCGUCGUGAAGAGGGAAACAACCCAGACCGCCAGCUAAGGUCCCAAAGUCAUGGUUAAGUGGGAAACGAUGUGGGAAGGCCCAGACAGCCAGGAUGUUGGCUUAGAAGCAGCCAUCAUUUAAAGAAAGCGUAAUAGCUCACUGGUCGAGUCGGCCUGCGCGGAAGAUGUAACGGGGCUAAACCAUGCACCGAAGCUGCGGCAGCGACACUAUGUGUUGUUGGGUAGGGGAGCGUUCUGUAAGCCUGUGAAGGUGGCCUGUGAGGGUUGCUGGAGGUAUCAGAAGUGCGAAUGCUGACAUAAGUAACGAUAAAGCGGGUGAAAAGCCCGCUCGCCGGAAGACCAAGGGUUCCUGUCCAACGUUAAUCGGGGCAGGGUGAGUCGACCCCUAAGGCGAGGCCGAAAGGCGUAGUCGAUGGGAAACAGGUUAAUAUUCCUGUACUUGGUGUUACUGCGAAGGGGGGACGGAGAAGGCUAUGUUGGCCGGGCGACGGUUGUCCCGGUUUAAGCGUGUAGGCUGGUUUUCCAGGCAAAUCCGGAAAACCAAGGCUGAGGCGUGAUGACGAGGCACUACGGUGCUGAAGCGACAAAUGCCCUGCUUCCAGGAAAAGCCUCUAAGCAUCAGGUAACAUCAAAUCGUACCCCAAACCGACACAGGUGGUCAGGUAGAGAAUACCAAGGCGCUUGAGAGAACUCGGGUGAAGGAACUAGGCAAAAUGGUGCCGUAACUUCGGGAGAAGGCACGCUGAUAUGUAGGUGAAGCGACUUGCUCGUGGAGCUGAAAUCAGUCGAAGAUACCAGCUGGCUGCAACUGUUUAUUAAAAACACAGCACUGUGCAAACACGAAAGUGGACGUAUACGGUGUGACGCCUGCCCGGUGCCGGAAG
rnacentral:rRNA from 1 species